UCCAGACUCCUACGGGAGGCAGCAGUGGGGGAUAUUGGACAAUGGGGGAAACCCUGAUCCAGCGACGCCGCGUGAGUGAAGAAGUAUUUCGGUAUGUAAAGCUCUAUCAGCAGGGAAGAAAGAAAUGACGGUACCUGAGUAAGAAGCCCCGGCUAACUACGUGCCAGCAGCCGCGGUAAUACGUAGGGGGCAAGCGUUAUCCGGAAUUACUGGGUGUAAAGGGAGCGUAGACGGCAGGGCAAGUCUGGAGUGAAAGGCAGGGGCCCAACCCCUGGACUGCUCUGGAAACUGUCCGGCUGGAGUGCAGGAGAGGUAAGUGGAAUUCCUAGUGUAGCGGUGAAAUGCGUAGAUAUUAGGAGGAACACCAGUGGCGAAGGCGGCUUACUGGACUGUAACUGACGUUGAGGCUCGAAAGCGUGGGGAGCAAACAGGAUUAGAUACCCCAGUAUUC
rnacentral:rRNA from 1 species